rnacentral:rRNA from 1 species
GUGAGGAAUAUUGGACAAUGGAGGAAACUCUGAUCCAGCCAUGCCGCGUGAGUGAUGAAGGCCUUCGGGUUGUAAAGCUCUUUCGGGUGUGAAAAUGAUGAUGGUAACACCAGAAGAAGCCCCGGCUAACUCCGUGCCAGCAGCCGCGGUAAUACGGAGGGGGCGAGCGUUGUUCGGAAUCACUGGGCGUAAAGCGUGCGUAGGCGGUUAUACAAGUCAGGAGUGAAAUCCCAGGGCUCAACCUUGGAAUUGCUUUUGAGACUGUAUGACUAGAGAUCUAGAGAGGUUGGGGGAAUUCCGAGUGUAGAGGUGAAAUUCGCAGAUAUUCGGAGGAACACCAGUGGCGUAGGCGCCCAACUGGCUAGAUACUGACGCUGAGGCACGAAAGCGUGGGGAGCAAACAGGAUUAGAAACCCGUGUAGUCC